rnacentral:rRNA from 1 species
UACGGAGGAUGCGAGCGUUAUCCGGAUUUAUUGGGUUUAAGGGGUGCGUAGGCGGGCUUUUAAGUCAGCGAUAAAAAUUCGGGGCUCAACCCCGUCCGGCCGUUGAAACUGGGGGCCUUGAGUGGGCGAGAAGAAGGCGGAAUGCGUGGUGUAGCGGUGAAAUGCAUAGAUAUCACGCAGAACCCCGAUUGCGAAGGCAGCCUUCCGGCGCCCUACUGACGCUGAGGCACGAAAGUGCGGGGAUCGAACAGG